UACAGAGGGGGCAAGCGUUGUUCGGAAUUACUGGGCGUAAAGGGCGCGUAGGCGGCCCGCUAAGUCGGACGUGAAAUCCCCGGGCUCAACCCGGGAACUGCGUCCGAUACUGGCAGGCUUGAAUCCGGGAGAGGGAUGCGGAAUUCCAGGUGUAGCGGUGAAAUGCGUAGAUAUCAUGUGGAACGCCAAUGGUGAAAACAGGUAGCUGGGGAUGUGCUGACGCUGAGACACGAAAGCCAGGGGAGCAAACGGG
rnacentral:rRNA from 1 species